CAUUAGGCAUCUCUGGCCUCCAAAAUAAACCUUCCUAGAAAAAGAGGUUGUCCCUGGAAUUAUCCCAUCCCUACGGACCCACAGAGUGAUCUGGGCUGGGACUGACGCUGGUACUACCACUGGACCUGUUCUGCUCAUCUUUCUGGGGUCCCACAGGCUGCAUCCUGUGUGUGUGAGGGCACUGCCAUGCUGGCCACACUGUCACCCACUCACAGCUCUCCACCACUGCUGGUGCAUCUGCUCUGCUGUUCCCUGGUAUCCCUUUUCCCAACAGCUUCAACAGAUGCAACAGGUCCAAGUGAUGUCUCCUGAAGUCCUGCUCUUGUCUGUGCAGUCCUCUCCUUUCCCCACAAGCUAUGGUACUUUACUAACUCUUAUAAAGCCCCUCAUCCAGCUAUUAAGGCAGCUCCAAUAAAUCACUGGUUUUAUC